AUCCAGCUGACGAGUACCAAAUAGGACGAAACGCUCUUCAAGCUGGAU
rfam:Schistosoma rodhaini strain Burundi genome assembly, scaffold: SROB_scaffold0005323